AAUGAACGCUGGCGGCGUGCUUAACACAUGCAAGUCGCACGAGAACUCUUCUGCUUGCAGAAGAUAGUAAAGUGGCGCACGGGUGAGUAACGCGUGGGUAAUCUGCCUUCAAAUCGGGGAUAACAUUGCGAAAGCGAUGCUAAUACCGGAUAAUGUCUGUUAAACUUAGGUUUAUAAGAUUAAAGGUGGCCUCUAUAUAUAAGCUUCCGUUUGAAGAUGAGCCCGCGUACCAUUAGCCAGUUGGUAGGGUAACGGCCUACCAAAGCAACGAUGGUUAGCUGGUCUGAGAGGAUGAUCAGCCACACUGGAACUGACACACGGUCCAGACUCCUACGGGAGGCUG
rnacentral:rRNA from 1 species